UACGGAGGGUGCGAGCGUUGUCCGGAAUCACUGGGCGUAAAGGGCGCGUAGGUGGCGCGGGCAGUCAACGGUGAAAGUUCGGGGCUCAACCCUGAAUCGGCCGUCGAUACUCCCGUGCUUGAGCACUGUAGAGGCAGAUGGAAUUCCGGGUGUAGCGGUGGAAUGCGUAGAGAUCCGGAAGAACACCGGUGGCGAAGGCGGUCUGCUGGGCAGUUGCUGACACUGAGGCGCGACAGCGUGGGGAGCAACAGG
rnacentral:rRNA from 1 species